GUGUCAGCAGCCGCGGUAAUACGGAGGGUGCGAGCGUUAAUCGGAAUUACUGGGCGUAAAGCGUCCGUAGGCGGUCUGUUAAGUCUGAUGUGAAAGCCCUGGGCUUAACCUAGGAAUGGCAUUGGAUACUGGCAGGCUAGAGUCUGGUAGAGGGUGGUGGAAUUCCCGGUGUAGCGGUGAAAUGCGUAGAGAUCGGGAGGAACACCGGUGGCGAAGGCGGCCACCUGGACCAAGACUGACGCUGAGGGACGAAAGCGUGGGGAGCAAACAGGAUUAGAUACCCUGGUAGUCCACGCCCUAAACGAUGUCGACUAGCCGUUGGAUCCUUUAUUGGAUUUAGUGGCGCAGCUAACGCGGUAAGUCGACCGCCUGGGGAGUACGGCCGCAAGGUUAAAACUCAAAUGAAUUGACGGGG
rnacentral:rRNA from 1 species